GAUGAACGCUGGCGGCGUGCCUAAUACAUGCAAGUCGAGCGAACAGACGAGGAGCUUGCUCCUCUGACGUUAGCGGCGGACGGGUGAGUAACACGUGGAUAACCUACCUAUAAGACUGGGAUAACUUCGGGAAACCGGAGCUAAUACCGGAUAAUAUAUUGAACCGCAUGGUUCAAUAGUGAAAGACGGUUUUGCUGUCACUUAUAGAUGGAUCCGCGCCGCAUUAGCUAGUUGGUAAGGUAACGGCUUAACAAGGCAACGAUGCGAAGCCGACCUGAGAGGGUGCUCGGCCACCCUGGAACUGAGACACGGCCCAGACUCCUACGGGAGGCAGCAGUAGGGAAUCUUCCGCAAUGGGCGAAAGCCUGACGGAGCAACGCCGCGUGGGUGAUGAAGGUCUUCGGAUCGUAAAACUCUGUUAUUAGGGAGGAACAAAUGUGUAAGUAACUAUGCACGUCUUGACGGUACCUAAUCAGAAAGCCACGGCUAACUACGUG
rnacentral:rRNA from 1 species